rnacentral:lncRNA from 1 species
UAGGGCCAUGGAUGAAGCUAUCUAUAGGCAGUACGGGUUUUUUGUAGCGUUUUUUUUUUUUUUUUGGUUCUGAAGUGCUGUACACCAAACAUCUAACAAUUGAAUAGUUUGCAUCUAAAAAAGAGUACCAGGACAUGAAGACAAAAGGAAAUGUUUUGAGCAUGUUAGGAAUCUGGGACCAUCUUUUGGAAACUGUAAUAGUUAACCUGGUUACCUCAGGACUGAUUUAAUGUACAGGUUCAGUUACAUUAAGGGAAAAAUCCAGAGCGCCUAAGAGAUUUCAGAUACUUUCUAAGAGGGAUUGAAAUAAACCUGGAAUCUGCUAAUUGACAGGUGGAGGACACAACAGUGACCAGACCGAGGAACUUUCUGCCAUGUUUUCAUUUCUUUCAUAUUUGUGGUAUUUUCUGAAGGCUUGAAGAGUUGAGGCCAUUCAAACUGGAAAGCUGGGAAUGAAAGUUCAUUUGAGCAGAGGAUGCACCACAAAGGCGAACCAAGCAUUAAGUGCAACAGUCUGCUGUGUUUAAUUGCCCCUGCAACUUUUAUUUUUCUGUCUACUCAUUUUUCCUAGGUUGGCAUUUUUGUGGAUGAAUACCACUGGGAGUUAAGGACUUGCUGUGACUCUCACUCUUACUUAUAGGAGUUUUGCCUGCAGCAGUCACAUAGUUGAAAAAUAUGGAUCCAUGUGACUGCUAAGAGACCACUGAGAAGCCAACUGCUCUGCUCUGCGCUGACCCUUCCCACCCGCCUGCUCUCGGGCAUACCCUGCACUGCUGCCCAUGGCGUGGAGGAGCAGAACGGGAUGUGUUCCAUGCCCCUCACAGCCCAAGACCUGGCAGGAGCUCCACCACCCGCCCAGCUCUUCUUCACACAUCUCCCAGGCGCUAAGUGGGAAGAACUAGAGGUAGACCAGAAGCAGCCAGCACGCCCUGCGAGUAGGAGCUCCGAGGGACUUUGCAGCUCAGCUUCCAUUCUGCUCACCUGGUGCAUCCUCUGCACUCCUACGUACGCAGAGAAACAGAUUUUGAGUUCUGAUUGUUCUGUCCAAAGAAGGAAAGCUAGUUCAUGGAGCUUGCUGGAAUAA